rnacentral:snRNA from 1 species
GUCUUUUCAGUAGCACAUACAUCAAAAUUGGAGCGAAUCUCAAAGAUGAGAUUAGCAUGGCUCUAUCUCAAAAUGACACGAAAACUAUUGAAGUACUCCACACUUUU